UACGUAGGGGGCGAGCGUUGUCCGGAAUCAUUGGGCGUAAAGAGCGUGUAGGCGGCCUGGAAGGUCAGCUGUGAAAACUCGAGGCUCAACCUCGAGACGUCGGUUGAAACCACCUGGCUAGAGUCCGGAAGAGGAGUGUGGAAUUCCCGGUGUAGCGGUGGAAUGCGCAGAUAUCGGGAGGAACACCAGUGGCGAAGGCGGCUCACUGGCCCGGUACUGACGCUGAGGUGCGAAAGCGUGGGGAGCAAACAGG
rnacentral:rRNA from 1 species